rnacentral:lncRNA from 1 species
GAUUUGAUCUCUCCCUGCUCUACUAGAGUCAGACCUUCACUCUACUCUCCUCAGCAGCCGCCUAUGUUCAGCACGGAUCCCAGAGGCAAAGCUUGGUGGAGGGAAGAUCUUGGUGGAGUUUAGACCAUGAUGCCUUCCAUCAUCAGCGCCACUCUCCUCCUACUUGAUUUCUAGGCCCUCACGGUAGCUCCCUCUGACUAGGGCAGCAAUUUAGAAUGGGAAUUGAUAGGUUCAAUCCGUUUAUCUGCUUGAACCUAUCCAUAAUAUGCUUCACUGGAUUUGAAGUGAUGCCCCUAAAAUUUAAUGGACCA